UACGUAGGGUCCGAGCGUUGUCCGGAAUUAUUGGGCGUAAAGGGCUCGUAGGCGGUUCGUCACGUCGGGAGUGAAAACUCGGGGCUUAACCCCGAGCCUGCUUCCGAUACGGGCAGACUAGGGGUAGGCAGGGGAGAGCGGAACUCCUGGUGUAGCGGUGGAAUGCGCAGAUAUCAGGAAGAACACCGGUGGCGAAGGCGGCUCUCUGGGCCUUACCUGACGCUGAGGAGCGAAAGCGUGGGUAGCGAACAGG
rnacentral:rRNA from 1 species